rnacentral:rRNA from 1 species
GGUUGUCCGCAGCUGUAACCGACGGAUGACCUCGCCGCGGUGGUGGCGCACGGUGGAGGACAGGUUGCUUCACCCUCUCCCUCUCCUCCCUCCGGCUCUGCCGCCACCAGCCCUACGCCAGGUGCCGCCGCGAGUACCACCCACCGGAGACAUCCGACCUCGACAGCCACCGCUACCGCCGCGAGAGUGGAGCCUAGCCCACCAGUACCACCGACGCGUCGGACUUCCACGCUGUAACGUUCGAAAUUAAGGUCUCUAAUGAAAAAUACUUAAGGAUGUACACACAAGCUCUAAUAAAAAAUACUUAAGGACGAAAUUUAAAGUCUCGAACGUUCGAACUACUUAGUCUAUGAUCAGAAUAACCGAACUUAACCGACGAAAUUAGAUUACCCUUUUAGUCGGGUACAGUACCUUCAUCUCCUUUCAGAUGUGACGUGUCCAGAUGUAGGUUACACUUUAGCCUAACCUCACUGAAGAAACCAACCAUUAUACUAACGCGGUGUACUUGUACUUUAAGGUUGAAGUGGACAAAAAAGAGAUGUAGGUUAAAUAACGGGAAAGGACAUUGUAGUAACCUUAUAAAGUUUGGCAACUUUAAUACGGUGCGGAAGUUGAUGUACUGUGACCUGUAACGUGAUCAGAAAAAGUGUGUGUGAAAAAAGUGAACACUAACUCUAUAAACAGUACUUAUUCACCAACGGUCGUAGGUUAUAAAAGAAACCGGCUGGGACUUCUCACUAUUCGUAAGCGGAUAAAUUGCUGAAAUGUGUGUUCCUCUCUUCACGUCUAAUGAUGGUGUAAGCAACUCCUGGAUGUCGAGGUAGGUGGUGGAGUAGAGGUGGAGGAACGAGUUGGUACUUCUGUACCGUCGAAAAGUACCAGGUAGAAGAGUGAGUAUGGGAGGAAAAAGAGUGUAGGUCGAAGAGAGUUGGGUGGUUGUUGGUUUCAUCGUUGAUGUCGCGGCUAGAGGGACACGAGGAUAGUAAGUUUAGCAACUAUUGGUCACUGGGAUGUUUCCGUGACAGGAGAACCAGAACCCUGGGACAGUCCUUACUGUGCUCGUGCCACGGUAACGGACUAAUGACGCUCACCUGCCCGCACAGGACGUCGUUGGCGGCCGUGGGUCCGGUACAGUGGCGGUAUGCAGACCUACCGAACGCGGAUCGGCCGUGGUAGACGGGCGUCGAGCCAUUGGACUGGGCGGAGGCGCAGGAGUCAGAAAGCCUGUUGUUGGACGUUCCACUCUAGGGUCCGUGGGAGCCACGAACAUGUAGUGAAGUACGGAACCUGGACUCGUCCUUGAUGGAGAUACCAAGGUACGGACGAAGAGAUCCAGAGGAUAGUUUGGAGUGUAGAGAGUUGCAAUGGGUAUUGUUAGACUGACCACUAUAAGGGUACAGUAAGAGGUUGGAGUGUCGGGAGUGCUUGGAAUCGUACGUAUCGUUGAUGAAGGUACCGGUUUAGGGGUCGACCGAGCCGUUGGACUGAAGUGACUGUGUGAAUCCUAAUAGGGUCUUGUCAAAGUUACCGGUAGAGAGAGGUCGAGAUCCAUUCUACCGAUUAGAACAAUAUAAACUGUAGUGUCGAUUGUCUGACCUUCCGGGAAAAGGAGGUAGGAACAAGUUAGAAAGAAGGCAGUGUCUGAAGGCGUAGUCGAAGUUGGUCAAAAGUCCUAGAGACGGCGAACUAUAACCGAAAUUCGAAGGGUUCGAUGUAUAUAAGCGGUGUUUACCCUUGGUUAAGCAACCUGGUUAUGGUCGGAGGAACAGUUUACGUAGGCGUGAAUUUCUAAACAAAAAAGCGCCUUUAGUCGUAGUACCCGACUAAGGUGCCCUGUAACCGUAGGUACCAGUAUAGGCCUAUAAAAGGAAUCCUGUGUUAAAAGAAGUUUGGUGUCUCGCAUCCCUAACCCUAAAGGAGUGUAGGAAUUGGUUGACAUCGUUGGACUGUUAUGAUCUGGAACUUGUUUUGUUGGAGCUUCCACAAUACGGUCAGUGAUAACGGUUGGAUAGAUGUCUCGAGAUGACCGAAUGUUAUCCGUCUUUGUUUUAUCGACCCUGGUAUGGACGUCCAAAUCCUUUCAAAGUUUUUGAAUCUUUCCAGUAGGAGCGUUUAUCGGAAAAGUGCCCGUGGGACGGAGACCUAUAACCGGUCUAAGGACCGGAGGUCAUAGAACUGGAUAGGGUAUUAUCUAAGAUACCCGCCUAAGGUGUCAGUAAUCCGUUAUAGUGUGUUAACUCGUUGGAGAGAGAUAGAUUAUUGAAAGAUCUACCGUCGUAAGGUCGUUCGGAACCAUGGGAGUGUUUUGAACAUAGAGACCUAGAAAGGCGAUUGAGGAACUACCCCCUUUAGGGUGUCCUCUAUGAAUCAUAAGGGAGAGAAUGGAAUGAAGAGUUGGAGAGGUCGUUACGAGAUUCACCGAGGUAAGGUUGUGUCUAUCCCUUCAACUUGUCGGAACCGUAUUAGCUGGAUAGUUACUUGUUCGACAGACCACUUUAGGGUCUGCGAGAGUCGUCAACACAGGUUGACUUAAAGGAUUUAAACGUUCCUUUAGAAAACGUUCCCGUUUAUGGCUCUCCGAAAAGAAGAAACUCUCCGGAGCUUUUCAACCUAGAAAGGUUAUUAUUGAAUCGUCCUGGACAUGGACUCAAGGAGGACUCAAACCUCGAGGAUUGCAUAGAUUUGGAGAGAAAGUUGUUGAAUAGACCAGGGCAAGGUUUAUGUCCCUAGAAAGUGUUACGGUGACAUAACAACGAGGGACCAUUACCGUACGAUACGCCCCCAGGGGGUAGGAACGUUGAGGGAAGUACGGGUAUAUUGGUCCGAAGCGUCGUAGCCACAGCUCAGUAUGAGAAAACGUAACAACCUUAAAACUAGAAGAAGUACACGAGGGAUUGACGUACGAUGAACUACUUCUGUUCUUAGUUUGGUUUGUCACCACGACUAGUUCUUUUGCUUAAAGCGGUACUCUACGUACUCUCCUAUAGGAUACGACUCUAUCUACGUCGUUGUCUCAGUAAGAGUGGCCGUUUAAACUAACCAAGACCUUCAAAGCCGUUGCACAUGUAUCCUUGAGAUUUAGAACUACUCUCAAAUAUAUGACAUCGUUAGUUCCAAGAGUUAGAACCGUUUGCUCCUCGAUUGUCUUCGAAGAACUCUCUCACACUUCGGGAUUCCUUCUAAGCUGUGGCCUUUGAACAGUUUCACUAGUGACACACAUCGUCAAACCUGGCUUUACCACUACUCAAGUUCCGUGAACAGAAUCUUAAACAGACGUUACCUUUAAAUCUACUCACCGACGUAGGUUUUCGUCGCUGAUUGUCGUACUGGAAAUCUUCCGAUUCCAACUACCUUUCCGAUACGUAACGAGAACUACAACGUCUCCGUAAUCUUAUAGAAGUGGUAGUUUAACUCGGUAGGUAUCAAGUGACACUAUAGUUUGGUACGUUGUAGGAAGAUCUACUACUGUAACAACGCGUGCAAUGGCUGAAACCAGAUCGUUUCUAUUACGUAUGACUUCUUACGCUCGUACCACCACCACCUUGGCUUUCGUCGAGUGAACAUUAAUUUCCGUGUUAACCUAUACAGCGUGGUCUCAUACCGAGUCCUAGGCUUGGGAGGUGCCUUCCACUGCAUAUAUCGAUGCCCCACAACGAUAACCUUUAUAAAUGACCUUCCUCCGGUUGACUGUUAAAGUACCUACCACACUGUCCGGAACAGCCGAUACAGUCCUACAGGAUAGGACUAUUCGAUGACCUUUAUAACCUACGAUCACGUUGGAUGUCGCCUCUGUGCGUCGUAUAGUAACUAUAUAAGAAUACAGGAUACAAAUUCGAACGGGAUCGAACGACGCUCCUAAGGGGUUCCGUGUCUUACUUCUAUCUACUACAUCAGUUCCUUAACUUGUAGUAUUUCUCUCGUACACGCCGAGUAUUCCGACAGGUACUUAAAGCUCGUUGGCGGAUUAGGUAUCCGCUCGUUACUUCGCAAUACUAGCAGAAAAGACACACGUGGGACUACGAUACCUUUACCUUACCCUCAAGACUUUCAAGUGGCCACACACACGACAAAACAUAACGACCGCAAGCCACGGACCUUAAGGGACUUCAAGUCAAAACCACGCAGGACUUUAGACAUCGGAAUAAACAAGUCAAGACCACGGUGGUACUUUAGACGUCGAACGAGAGGCGGGGACUUGAGCGGCAUAGUCGUCCACGCCACAUCCACAAAAGAACAACGGCCACAAAAUAACUCUACCCUACUCUAAACUAAACACUUUACAAAUUUAAGCGUUUGACGGGCCUUGACAAGAAAGAUCGUAAUUUUGACUAAAGUUCCCGAUCAGGAUCGGCCGGAAAAAAAUCUCCUUUUCCCGAGCUUCGGGGCCGAGGUAAACGUAAUGGUUUGCUUCGGUGUGUCCAGGUGGUAGGUCAACGUUCAUGCGCCCCCUUUGUCGUGUGUGCGACGGGGUCGUUUCUUGUCUGGCUCGAGUGUCCCGAUGUCAGCGAUGUUUCUCUCUUUUAUUUGAUCUGAGCUUCUAACGAUGUCGGUUGGCCGUUCCUUUCUCUAGCCUUACUUAUUCAUUUUUAGCUAGUGUUGAGUUGCCUAGGGGACUAGAGUUAGAAAAAGGAACAUAGACGAGGUCGAAAGAAUGGUUCACAUAGUGAAAAAGGAACUGUCCCGGUCUCGUAGUCUGGUGGGUUGACAGGAUCGGUCAGAACAAGAAAGACAAAGAAACAAGUGUCUGUGUCUUUUUGUAAAAACGAGAGAGAAGAAACACAGCAAGACGUCCCCAUCAGUGAGUGAUGAGUGUAAGUCAUACAGGGCAACCUAUUCGACUGUACCGGAAGAGCAAAAAGAAGCAAAUUGAAACCGGUAAUCAAACUGGUUAUCGAUUAUAUACACAACAGACAAUAUUAAAAAAAGUAGUAGCCUAGAAAAGCUUGUUCUUAAACUACUAUGUCAAAACACUGGGCAUU